UCGGGAAUAUUGGUCAAUGGGCGAAAGCCUGAACCAGCCAUGCCGCGUGGAGGAUGAAGGCCUUCGGGUCGUAAACUCCUUUUCUGAGGGAAGAACCGCCUGGGGAGGAAAUGCCCUGGGUUUGACGGUACCUCAGGAAUAAGCAACGGCCAACUCCGUGCCAGCAGCCGCGGUAAUACGGUGGUUGCAAGCGUUGUUCGGAAUUACUGGGCGUAAAGGGAGCGCAGGCGGCCACAUCAGUCUGAAGUGAAAUCCCGGAGCUUAACUCCGGACGUGCUUUGGAUACUGUUGGGCGUGAGUUAGCGAGAGGUAAGCGGAAUUCCAGGUGUAGCGGUGAAAUGCGUAGAUAUCUGGAGGAACAUCGGUGGCGAAAGCGGCUUACUGGCGCGAUACUGACGCUGAGGCUCGAAAGCGUGGGGAGCGAACG
rnacentral:rRNA from 1 species